rnacentral:rRNA from 1 species
GACGAACGCUGGCGGCGUGCUUAACACAUGCAAGUCGAACGGAAAGGCCCUGCUUUUGUGGGGUGCUCGAGUGGCGAACGGGUGAGUAACACGUGAGUAACCUGCCCUUGACUUUGGGAUAACUUCAGGAAACUGGGGCUAAUACCGGAUAGGAGCUCCUGCUGCAUGGUGGGGGUUGGAAAGUUUCGGCGGUUGGGGAUGGACUCGCGGCUUAUCAGCUUGUUGGUGGGGUAGUGGCUUACCAAGGCUUUGACGGGUAGCCGGCCUGAGAGGGUGACCGGCCACAUUGGGACUGAGAUACGGCCCAGACUCCUACGGGAGGCAGCAGUGGGGAAUAUUGCACAAUGGGCGGAAGCCUGAUGCAGCAACGCCGCGUGCGGGAUGACGGCCUUCGGGUUGUAAACCGCUUUCGCCUGUGACGAAGCGUGAGUGACGGUAAUGGGUAAAGAAGCACCGGCUAACUACGUGUCAGCAGCCGCGGUGAUACGUAGGGUGCGAGCGUUGUCCGGAUUUAUUGGGCGUAAAGGGCUCGUAGGUGGUUGAUCGCGUCGGAAGUGUAAUCUUGGGGCUUAACCCUGAGCGUGCUUUCGAUACGGGUUGACUUGAGGAAGGUAGGGGAGAAUGGAAUUCCUGGUGGAGCGGUGGAAUGCGCAGAUAUCAGGAGGAACACCAGUGGCGAAGGCGGUUCUCUGGGCCUUUCCUGACGCUGAGGAGCGAAAGCGUGGGGAGCGAACAGGCUUAGAUACCCUGGUAGUCCACGCUGUAAACGGUGGGUACUAGGUGUGGGGUCCAUUCCACGGGUUCCGUGCCGUAGCUAACGCUUUAAGUACCCCGCCUGGGGAGUACGGCCGCAAGGCUAAAACUCAAAGGAAUUGACGGGGCCCCGCACAAGCGGCGGAGCAUGCGGAUUAAUUCGAUGCAACGCGUAGAACCUUACCUGGGUUUGACAUGGAUCGGGAGUGCUCAGAGAUGGGUGUGCCUCUUUUGGGGUCGGUUCACAGGUGGUGCAUGGCUGUCGUCAGCUCGUGUCGUGAGAUGUUGGGUUAAGUCCCGCAACGAGCGCAACCCUUGUUCACUGUUGCCAGCACGUUAUGGUGGGGACUCAGUGGAGACCGCCGGGGUCAACUCGGAGGAAGGUGGGGAUGACGUCAAGUCAUCAUGCCCCUUAUGUCCAGGGCUUCACGCAUGCUACAAUGGCUGGUACAGAGAGUGGCGAGCCUGUGAGGGUGAGCGAAUCUCGGAAAGCCGGUCUCAGUUCGGAUUGGGGUCUGCAACUCGACCUCAUGAAGUCGGAGUCGCUAGUAAUCGCAGAUCAGCAACGCUGCGGUGAAUACGUUCCCGGG